rnacentral:rRNA from 1 species
GACGAACGCUGGCGGCGUGCCUAAUACAUGCAAGUAGAACGCUGAAGAGAGGAGCUUACUCUUCUUGGAUGAGUUGCGAACGGGUGAGUAACGCGUAGGUAACCUGCCUUGUAGCGGGGGAUAACUAUUGGAAACGAUAGCUAAUACCGCAUAAAAAUGGAUGACACAUGUCAUUUAUUUGAAAGGGGCAAUUGCUCCACUACAAGAUGGACCUGCGUUGUAUUAGCUAGUAGGUGAGGUAAUGGCUCACCUAGGCGACGAUACAUAGCCGACCUGAGAGGGUGAUCGGCCACACUGGGACUGAGACACGGCCCAGACUCCUACGGGAGGCAGCAGUAGGGAAUCUUCGGCAAUGGGGGCAACCCUGACCGAGCAACGCCGCGUGAGUGAAGAAGGUUUUCGGAUCGUAAAGCUCUGUUGUAAGUCAAGAACGGGUGUGAGAGUGGAAAGUUCACAAUGUGACGGUAGCUUACCAGAAAGGGACGGCUAACUACGUG